UGGGGAAUAUUGGGCAAUGGGCGCAAGCCUGACCCAGCAACGCCGCGUGAGGGAAGAAGGCCUUCGGGUUGUAAACCUCUGUCCUAUGGGAAGAAGAAAGUGACGGUACCAUAGGAGGAAGCUCCGGCUAACUACGUGCCAGCAGCCGCGGUAAUACGUAGGGAGCAAGCGUUGUCCGGAAUUACUGGGCGUAAAGGGUGCGUAGGCGGUUGUUUAAGUCAGAUGUGAAAUACCCGGGCUUAACCCGGGGGCUGCAUCUGAUACUGGAUAACUAGAGUGCAGGAGAGGAAAGUGGAAUUCCUAGUGUAGCGGUGGAAUGCGUAGAUAUUAGGAGGAACACCAGUGGCGAAGGCGACUUUCUGGACUGUAACUGACGCUGAGGCACGAAAGUAUGGGUAGCAAACAGGAUUAGAUACCCUGGUAGUCCAUACUGUAAACGAUGAAUACUAGGUGUGGGGGACAAUAGUCUUCCGUGCCGCAGCCAACGCAAUAAGUAUUCCGCCUGGGGAGUACGGUCGCAAGACUGAAACUCAAAGGAAUUGACGGGGGCCCGCACAAGCAGCGGAGCAUGUGGUUUAAUUCGAAGCAACGCGAAGAACCUUACCAAGGCUUGACAUCCCGGUGACCGGCAUAGAGAUAUGCCUUCUCUUCGGAGCACCGGUGACAGGUGGUGCAUGGUUGUCGUCAGCUCGUGUCGUGAGAUGUUGGGUUAAGUCCCGCAACGAGCGCAACCCUUGUUACUAGUUGCCAGCAUUUCGGAUGGGAACUCUAGUGAGACCGCCGGGGAUAACUCGGAGGAAGGUGGGGAUGACGUCAAAUCAUCAUGCCCUUUAUGUCUUGGGCUACACACGUGCUACAAUGGUCGGUACAAAGAGCGGCGAGCUCGUAAGAGUAAGCGAAUCUCAUAAAGCCGGUCUCAGUUCAGAUUGUGGGCUGCAACCCGCCCACAUGAAGUCGGAGUUGCUAGUAAUCGCGGAUCAGCAUGCCGCGGUGAAUGCGUUCCC
rnacentral:rRNA from 1 species